GAAAUGCGAUAAGUAGUGUGAAUUGCAGAAUUCAGUGAAUCAUCGAAUCUUUGAACGCACAUUGCGCCCUUUGGUAUUCCAAAGGGCAUGCCUGUUCGAGCGUCAUUUGUACCCUCAAGCUUUGCUUGGUGUUGGGCGUCUUGUCUCUAGCUUUGCUGGAGACUCGCCUUAAAGUAAUUGGCAGCCGGCCUACUGGUUUCCGAGCGCAGCACAAGUCGCACUCUCUAUCAGCAAAGGUCUAGCAUCCAUUAAGCCUUUUUUUCAACUUUUGACCUCGGAUCAGGUAGGUAUACCCGCUGAACUUAAGC
rnacentral:misc_RNA from 1 species